UNCUGCUGCAUGAAGCUAUGGAAUUAUGUU
rnacentral:piRNA from 1 species